rnacentral:rRNA from 1 species
GCGAGCGGCGGAUGGGUGAGUAACACGUGGGGAACCUGCCCCUAAGUCUGGGAUACCAUUUGGAAACAGGUGCUAAUACCGGAUAAUAAAGCAGAUCGCAUGAUCAGCUUUUGAAAGGCGGCGUAAGCUGUCGCUAAGGGAUGGCCCCGCGGUGCAUUAGCUAGUUGGUAAGGUAACGGCUUACCAAGGCGACGAUGCAUAGCCGAGUUGAGAGACUGAUCGGCCACAUUGGGACUGAGACACGGCCCAAACUCCUACGGGAGGCAGCAGUAGGGAAUCUUCCACAAUGGACGCAAGUCUGAUGGAGCAACGCCGCGUGAGUGAAGAAGGUUUUCGGAUCGUAAAGCUCUGUUGUUGGUGAAGAAGGAUAGAGGUAGUAACUGGCCUUUAUUUGACGGUAAUCAACCAGAAAGUCACGGCUAACUACGUGCCAGCAGCCGCGGUAAUACGUAGGUGGCAAGCGUUGUCCGGAUUUAUUGGGCGUAAAGCGAGCGCAGGCGGAAAAAUAAGUCUAAUGUGAAAGCCCUCGGCUUAACCGAGGAACUGCAUCGGGAAACUGUUUUUCUUGAGUGCAGAAGAGGAGAGUGGAACUCCAUGUGUAGCGGUGGAAUGCGUAGAUAUAUGGAAGAACACCAGUGGCGAAGGCGGCUCCCUGGUCUGCAACUGACGCUUGAGGCUCGAAAAGCAUGGGUAGCGAACAGG